CGUGACAUCAAUUGGUGUUCGAGCCUGUUUGCGUGGGGGUGCACAGCAAGGCAGGGCGCUGGCAGUGGAAACAAGCCGAGCUGUGGAGAGCUCAUUUGGAGAGCACUGCGAAGAUUAGAGUCUGACAACUACGAGCAAAUUGAAUUUCUUUCGAGUUCUCAACACGAAUCAGAUUAUACGUUACCCGGUACAUGUGCUGAUUACGCUGUUGUUCAAAGAAACAAACAACUCUCUGCAAAAGAUGAUGAAAAAUCUCCAGAUUCAGAUUAUACAUUUGCUGGACCGACAGCUGAGUAUGCCCAGAUUUGCAUGUCAAUCACAAAGGAUGGGAAGGAUGAUGAUUUAUGUAUUUUCGAUAACUCCAACGAUGAUACUUUGAAUUAUUGCUCUUUAGAAAAACCAGACAUUAAUGAUGGAAACGAAAGUGUUCCGCAUGGAGAGACAAGAAUUGAAUAUGCCCAAAUAAGUCACUUUGCUAAUCCUUGAGGAACCGAUGACUUGUGCUUCGAAGACGAUGGGACGAUGGAGUCAUCGUGUGGACUAUGAAUUUGAUGAGCGUCUUGAAGCCCACACAAACUUUAAGUUAUCCUAACAUCACAGGUAGAGAAAGUGUGCAGGCAUCGGUUGAUGAAAUUAACAUUGGCAUGGCUGAUGAGGACAUGUGUGCGAAAUCCCAGUUCCAACUGUUAACGUGCUAUGCUGUGCUGAAGACUGAGCGAGGUCAUGUUGGAGGACAUUAAUGCACACAUGGUCAUAUACAUCUGUCAUGGUUCUGUUUCUGAUAACUUAAAUCACAUCUGUGUACUCAUAAUAUGAUCCAGCUGGAUCUUCAGUAGAAUUCCAUAAUGUGGACCCCAUUUACCUCCUGCCUCUCCAAUACAUCGACGUUGACACAGGAUGGAGACUUUAAGCACCACUUGCAACUGAUGAACAACAGCAAACUUCCAUUCAAUUCUGUAUCUGAUGCAACUUAAACUUAUUAUUUUGCUUCUUUACCCUUGAUGCCACAACAUUCUUUCAUACUCCCAACAUUUAAUUAACCCAUCCUUUAACUCUUAAUAAAGACACUCCAGCUUAUAAUUUGGAUUACCACUAAAUGUUUCUGUCUUUGAUUCAAUCAUUGUCUGACAUGGUAAGAAUGAAACGAUGGUUAAAAGAUAACUUAAACAGAUCUUCCUCCACCCGUUAUUCCACCCAUGCUGCAGGACCAGUCACAUCAAUGAAGAAGUUAAGGUUCUUUUCCUUCACUCGAACAAAAACAAAAAAAAUUAUGAAAAAUAUUGUGGUGCCUUAUGCAAUUUGCAAACACACAAAGAGAGAAAGCAGGUAAAUGGAUCAUCCAUCACCCAGAAAUCUGCACCGUUCAGCCUCCUACAUUUGUAUGGGCUUGUAAAAUGGCAGAUCCAUAACGCUGGAGGUCAAUGAUAUCAUGGGCUUUGUUUCCAUCAAUAUAAAUGACAAACAUACAAGUACAAAUGAAUGAAAUUUUUGUCUGUUUACAUGGGUAACAUGACGUGAGUAAGUAUACUUCAGGUUAUAUUUGUCAACUCCAGCUCAGACUAUUUCUUUCAAGUCUACCGAAAGCUGACUCUCUAAUAUUAGUCAAGUGUGGAUGUUGAUUGGUCCAGGGGAUGCUGACUCCAAAGACAAGUCCGACAGACUAUUUUGUUUACAAAUUCCAGGAAGUGUCAACGAACCUGCUCUGGCUAGCAGAAUGAAAGGAAAAGUGAUCAUGGCCAGAACAGGGGCUGAAGGGUGUCGGGGUUAACUACCGAUGUUCUGCUUCGAGGAUGCAGCAGCCCACUCAUUAUGCACCUGUCGUGUCAUAAUGAAACACGCCUCAAUGUAGCACAGAUGGUAUUAAGAAAAUUUACACAAACAAACUACCAGUGACAUAUAAUGGCAUACCAUAGUGCCUAGCCUAAGCCAACACCCCAUACUCACUCUGGAGCACAACAUUUUCCCCGACUUUCUUGCACAAGGGUAAUAUUGUCACUCUCCUAGUUCUCACCUCUUACACACUUCAGUGUCUCUUUUGCUUUGUUCUGAUGCACAUUCCACCACUUCUCAUUAUUCUUCGUCAUAUUUUCACAACUUGCAUACCUCCUUUCGCAAUCUCCUUUAUUUCUCUUUAAACUUUUUUUUUUUUACCUCACCACUUCCUACAUUUCUCUUUCUGAUAAUCUGUGCUCACACCAAAUGUUCCAUGCCUUUUCACCCAAUUGUACCUUGCCAGUUCCUCACCUCCCAUCAGAGUUUUUUUAUUUGUCAAUUUUUGUAGUUCUGGUUGUCCACUUUUUUUCCGUUGUUGUUGAUCCGUUGAUCAGUGUGAAAUGGACAAGUUAACAAUUGUUGAGUCGUAUUGUCAUACGUCUGAUUAAACCUUCCAUCUUGUACUUAGUACCUUAUGUGUACCUUACCAUGGUAGCAUUAUUGUAAGAUGUUUGCUGAAGUUUAUAACAAUUUUUUUCUAUUCAUGGAUGGAUAUUUUAUGCUUUGGAGUCUGGGUCUUAUCAUAUUAUUUUGCCACGUGUUUUGUUUUUGACUACCUUUGACUUGCUGAUGUUCAUAUGUUAUGACUAAUGCUUCAACAUUCCACCCGAGUUUUGUAGCCAAGCUGUUAAUCUUGUGACCAUCUAUCUGACGUGAUUAAUGGACGUGCCACUAUAUGUUUGUGGAAAUCUUGGAGACAAUCAUUCACAGUGGUCAUACAUAUCAUUGCUUUUAACAGACAAGUUAUUUUUGGUUUGAGGUUUCCAUUUGUUAAUAUUUUGAUACCUUGUUAUAUACGAAGUGACUUAAUAAAGUUACUUCUGCAUCAUUUCUCGAAAUGUCGAGGUUCAACUGCAUACCCAAGUACAAAAAAUUAGAACAAUGCUGAAAGUAAAAUUCAAUUUUCAAUGAUAAUAAGAGGGC
ensembl:lincRNA